UACGAAGGGGGCUAGCGUUGCUCGGAAUCACUGGGCGUAGAGCGCACGUAGGCGGCUUUUUAAGUCAGGGGUGAAAUCCUGGAGCUCAACUCCAGAACUGCCUUUGAUACUGGCGAUCUUGAGUCCGGGAGAGGUGAGUGGAACUGCGAGUGUAGAGGUGAAAUUCGUAGAUAUUCGCAAGAACACCAGUGGCGAAGGCGGCUCACUGGCCCGGUACUGACGCUGAGGUGCGAAAGCGUGGGGAGCAAACAGG
rnacentral:rRNA from 1 species